CUACACGGAGGUAUACGUCCUGAACCCCACAGAGGUUUAAACAGUGGUGUAGUAGGAGCUACACGGAGGUAUACGUCCUGAACCCCACAGAGGUUUAAACAGUGGUGUAGUAGGAGCUACACGGAGGUAUACGUCCUGAACCCCACAGAGGUUUAAACAGUGGUGUAGUAGGAGCAACACGGAGGUAUACGCCCUGAACCCCACAGAGGUUUAAACAGUGGUGUAGUAGGAGCUACACGGAGGUAUACAUCCUGAACCCCAAAGAGGUUUAAACAGUGGUGUAGUAGGAGCUACACGGAGGUAUACGCCCUGAACCCCACAGAGGUUUAAACAGUAGUGUAGUAGGAGCAACACGGAGGUAUACGUCCUGAACCCCACAGAGGUUUAAACAGGGGUGUAGUAGGAGCUACACGGAGGUAUACGCCCUGCGCCCCACAGAGGUUUAAACAGUGGUGUAGUAGGAGCUACACGGAGGUAUACGCCCUGAACCCCACAGAGGUUUAAACAGUGGUGUAGUAGGAGGUAUACGCCCUGCGCCCCACAGAGGUUUAAACAGUGGUGUAGUAGGAGCUACACGGAGGUAUACGUCCUGAACCCCACAGAGGUUUAAACAGUAGUGUAGUAGGAGCAACACGGAGGUAUACGUCCUGAACCCCACAGAGGUUUAAACAGUGGUGUAGUAGGAGCUACACGGAGGUAUACGCCCUGCGCCCCACAGAGGUUUAAACAGUGGUGUAGUAGGAGCUACACGGAGGUAUACGUCCUGAACCCCACAGAGGUUUAAACAGUGGUGUAGUAGGAGCUACACGGAGGUAUACGUCCUGAACCCCACAGAGGUUUAAUUAUGUGGUACAAUAGAGAAAGUAGCCUACACAAUCGCAAAGCACGUAAAAUAUAUUCACACGUUUGCUGCACACAGCCAAAUUUCAGCAGAAUUUCAUGGCAGUAAGAGCUGGUUGUCCCAUGGAGCAGCUCACAGCUGGUAGGUAGGACUUGCCUAGUUAAAUAAAGGUUAAAUGAAUCAAAUCAAAUGACAAUGGGUAAGCAAACCAGGUAUUGAAACCGUUUGGUCCAAAGUCUUGGUUGAAUCUUUGCAGUGUUCAAUUCAGUCAUCAUGUGCUGUUUUGAAUGAACAUUUCCAAAUGCUUUCCCAAGGAAAACGUCCUAAUUAAAGCUGCAAUAUGUAACUUUGGGCGACCCAACAAGUUCACAUUGACAUAUCUUUAACUCACAUUUCUUUCUCAUUGAAAGCAAGUCUAAUAAGUGGUAGAUAUGUUCUAUGUGCACUAUUUCUAUGCUUCCCAUUCUUAAGUUUAGUUUUUAUUUUGUUUUGUACACCAGUUUCAGAUGGCUGAAAAUACAAUAUUUUUGGUUAUGGAAAAUAUAUUGCAGAGGUUUAGAUGGUACAAAGAGACUCUAUACAAUUACUUAGUCACAUAAACUGAAAUUAACAGAAAUUAGGCGAACUUAGAAUUUUAGCAACCAGGAAAUGUCGGAGAUAUUUCUGUAUAGUGCAUCUUUAAAUGUUGACCGCAAGUUAGGCCUACGUGAUAUAAUUAUGAUUUGUAUCAAUCUGGAGGGCAUUUCUUUUGAAAACUCUUCCAUCACAUGUACUCUACUGUAGGUCUACAUUGUAGAGUACAGACACUGCCAGCCACAUGCUAUUUUGCUAGGUGCUUAAUUAUUUUAAAGGGCAACUAGACCCUCCCAAAAAUAUUCUUUUAGAUUUUUCCCAGACCUCAGAAAUGGUCUCCUUAUGUGGUAUAAGCAUUGAUGUGGGCUUAACAUGCAUUUGUUGUUUUUCUAUGAAAGAUUUUCUGUCAAAAUGAUGGUAUACUCACUUCUCCAGGCACCACUACACCAAUGGGUUUUCCUGUAUCUGUGAGUGAUUUCAUUUGGGACCUGAAUCUCCAACAGGCUUACUUCUGACAGGCUUGGUCUGUUUACUCGAUGGAUCAUCAUGCAUCACUCCCAUAGGCUGCUUCACUUGUCAAUCAUGUCUCUGCUAUCUCGCCCUCUAAUCUGCGAUAUCUCUCUCUCAAACACUCUGUCUCUCGUCGUCAACUCUUUCUUUCAGUAAGAUAUUAAGCAAGCUC
rnacentral:lncRNA from 1 species